rnacentral:rRNA from 1 species
UCAGGUUGAUCCUGCCGGACCUGACUGCUAUCGGAUUGGUACUAAGCCAUGCGAGUCGUUGUACAAUACAAGGCGGACUGCUCAGUAACACGUAGUUAACUUAACCUAUGGAUGGGCAUAACCUCGGGAAACUGAGAAUAAUACCCAAUGGACCACAGUGCCUGGAAUGGCCUGUGGUUGAAAUGAUUUAUCGCCGUAGGAUAGGACUGCGGCCUAUCAGCUUGUUGGUGAGGUAAUGGCCCACCAAGGCUAUAACAGGUACGGGCUCUGAGAGGAGGGGCCCGGAGAUGGGUACUGAGACACGGACCCAGGCCCUAUGGGGCGCAGCAGGCGAGAAACCUUUGCAAUGUGCGAAAGCACGACAAGGUUAAUCCGAGUGUCCCCUGCUAAAGGAGUCUUUUGUCAGUUGUAGAAUCACUGGUGAAUAAGGGGUGGGCAAGUUCUGGUGUCAGCCGCCGCGGUAAAACCAGCACCUCGAGUGGUCAGGAGGUUUAUUGGGCCUAAAGCAUCCGUAGCCGGUUGCAUAAGUUUUCGGUUAAAUCUAUGCGCUUAACGUAUAGGCCGCCGAAAAUACUGUGCAGCUAGGGAGUG